rnacentral:rRNA from 1 species
UGCUUACACAUGCAAGUCGCACGGGCAUUGGGGAGACCUGGUGUCAGUGGCGGACGGGUGAGGAACGCGUAGGUAUCUAUCGUUGGGUGGGGGACAACCGCCGGAAACUGCGGCUAAUACCGCAUGACGACCUGUAUUGAGAGGUAUGGGUCCAAAGGCCGAAAGGUUGCCUGAUGAGGAGCCUGCGUCCGAUUAGCUAGUUGGUGGGGUAACGGCUUACCAAGGCUUUGAUCGGUAGCUGGUCUGAGA